ensembl:snoRNA SNORD79 Small nucleolar RNA SNORD79
AACUGUCAAUGAUGAUCAUGUUUAUAAAACAUUGGGAAUCUCUCUGAUUAAGAGUGAAAGAGAUCUUUUGAACUGAUGCAGUG